AGUAAUUUACAAGGUAAAUAGCAUGCCCGUUUUUCACCUGUAAAUAUUUGAUAAAUUGAAUGGGAAUAGAUCAGCGAGGAUCAAGGAAGGAUCUGUGAUUUCUAGGUGAAAUGUGUCAGAAAGUGGAAUGUAGGAAAUGUGGAAGACCUACAUGGGCAGGAUGUGGUCAUCAUAUAGAGUUAGUUUUACGUGGAAUUCCCGAGGAGGAGCGUUGUAAAUGUUCCAGGGGGAAGUCAAAAUGUGUCAUAUUAUAGCUAGAAUAUACGUCCAGCUUUUAAAGUGAUUUUAGAGAUUUAUAGAGCAGCUAUUGAUGAGAUGUGAUGAAAUAUUAGCUACCAUGACAACUGUUCACAAGCAUUAUCUACAAUGUUCAUGUAUAUAUUUCGUCUAUUAAAGGGCCACUCAUUUAUGGAGCACCCAUUUUAUACAUGUUUAAAUCAAUGGGACACUCAUGUACAUAUAUUGAUUAAAGGGAUACUCAUGUACAUUAUAAUUGUAUUAAUUAAAGGGACAUUCAUUUACAAUUGCAUUGAUUAAAUGGAUGCUUAUGUGCAUAAUUAAAGGGCAAUUUAACUCAUGUGCAUGAAUAAUAAUUGAAAGUGACACCCAUUGAUAGUCACAGGGUACCUCUCAGAUAUUUAAAUAUGUUAAGGGAUAGUCCUUUUAAUCUGAUUUUUUUUCUGACUAACUCAUUGAUUUAGGAUUAAAAAGCAUUAUAUAAUUGUACAUCUAAGACUGUGUUUGUAAGAGUUGUUUUUAUUCUAGAGGGAAAGAAAAUUUUUUAAAUCAAUUAAAGUAUGUGCAGUAUGUUAAAUAUUGUUCAAUCAUUGUUUGUCUCUCUCAAAAAUGUGUUGAUAAAUUUCAAGUUAAGGGGGGGGGAUUAAGGAUUCAUUUGUUUCUUGUUGUUUUUUUUUUUAAGUAAAAAUGAGCCACGUCAUGACAAAACCAACAUAGUGUGUUUGCGACCAGCAUGGAUCGAGACCAGCCUGCGCAUCUGCACAGUCUGAUCAGGAUCCAUGCUGUUCGCUUACCAACUCUAUAACAAGUAGAGAAACGGAUAGCAAACAGCAUGGAUCCUGAUCAGACUGCGUGGAUGCGCAGGCUGGUCUUGAUCCAUGCUGGUCGCAAACCCACUAUGUUGGUUUUGUCAUGACACGGCUCAAAUGUACUUGUCUUGUAAUUGAAAAAUAUUUUCAAAUAAAAUUCAUUCAAAUUUAACAUUUAUGCUGUGUAAUUUUCAUUUAUUUUCUCAUUAUAAUUAUAAGCUUAUAGACAUUAUUUUAGUAUUGUUUUAUAGUAAAACUGUUGCAUUCAGAGUAAAAUUAUUGUGGGUUAACUCAGGGUAACAAUUGCUUCAGAUUUUCUGUCAACUUGGGCUUUGUUGAGUGCUAUGGUUUCUUAUGAAUUAAUCAGAAUGAAAAAUGAUUUUUUCCCCCGUUUUUUUGUUGUUGUCAUAAAUAAUUAUGCAUACAGUAACUGUUUUAAGUUGUACUGAAAAAUACUCUCCCAUACUGAACUUGGUUGACAAGGAUAUUAGUUUACUUAAGGGAUUAAUUUUGUAAUCUAUAAAUAAAUUUGGUGUGAAAAGUCUAUUUCUAGAAACAUGUUGUUGAUUUUUAGAAAAAAUUGUAAAUUGAAUAUGUUUUUGUUCCAUUUAAUAACCUGUUAGGUAUUUUUUGUAUAUAGGUAUAUAGAGCUUGUUCUUGAUAGGUAGUUUAUUUACGGUACCUAUAUAAACAUUUAUUUUUUCGCUAUCAAAGUACAAAAUUAAAUUAUUUACAUCGAGUGUUCUGAAACUUGUUCUCCGGUCAUAAAGCUAUUCUAUCAUAAUGUUAAGAUAUAGAAACUUUGAAAAACUAGAAUUUUGACAAUUUGAUGGUAACUAGAACUUAAACAAGAACAUCCAUAAGUUCUAAAUGGAACACUAGAAAAUGGCCUCAUGUCUAAAUGUAACAUAUAGUUUGCAUUAUUAUAAAUAUGAAGAAUUUUUGUUUUAUCAGAUAAUAAGUUGAAGAUUUUAACUUGAUAAAUAAAGUCAUUUAUGUUACUUUUAUUCAAAAAUGUAUCCAAAGAAAACUUAACUGUCAAUCUAUUCAUGUCAUACUAUGUAAGUGGAUAUAAUAAAUUCCCCAUGUUGAAAAGUAAGUGAAUUUAAAAUUCCAGACAUUUCACAUGAGGAAGUAUAAGCGAAUCAUGCAAGGGUAGAAUUCAAUAACACAGAUUGGCUGAUAAUAAUUUUUACACUAGUGGAAAUUUUAACGAUUUUCGUCAUUUCGCAAAAUUCGCCAAUAUUUUUGCAUCGCUAACUAUACAACUUAUACUGUACAAGGGAAAACAAUGUUUAUGUAAAACACAAAGCUUUCUUGUUAAUUUCUUAAUAUAAAUAGCUUAUGUCUUGAAGUAUCUAAAUAUAAUGUACCCUGGUUUUUCAGCCUGAAAUACUACUAUUAUUAAAAUGUCUUUAUAAUACUGGUGUACAUAAUUAUGUCUAAAAUGUCAAUGUUUGUGAAAAUGGUGCAAUUUUUUUAUAUUUUAAGAUCAUACAUGGUGUAGUGAAGAAAUAUUACUUAAGUGUGAAAUAUAAAAUCAUUCAAGUUUUUAAUGUGAUGUUAAUACAUUGUACUUAAAUGUGUAAAAUAAGUGCAUACAGAUUUUUGUGUCGCCUGCUACAGAGUAGCAGUAGUACUGGUGACAUAUAGGGAUCACUUUUUAUAUGCCCGAAAGAAUUUCGGACAUAUUAUGUUAUACCCCCUGGCGUCCGUCCAUCCGUCUGUACGUUCGUUAGCAAUUUGGUUUCCGGAGCAUAACUUAAGUUCCAUUUGGCCCACAAUAUUCAAACUUCAUAGGAUGAUUGUCCAUAUUGGGUAGAAGACCCCUAUUGAUUUUGGGGUCAUAAGGUCAAAGGUCAAGGUCACUAUGACCUUAAAACUGAAAACAGUUUCCGGAGCAUAACUUAGUUUCCGGAGCAUAACUUAAGUUCCAUUUGGCCUACAGUGUUCAAACUUCAUAAGAUGAUUGUCCAUAUUGGGUAGAAGACCCCUAUUGAUUUUGGGGUCACAAGGUCAAAGGUCAAGGUCACUAUGACCUUAAAACUGAAAAACAGUUUCCGGAGCAUAACUUGAGUUCCAUUUGGCCCACAGUGUUCAAACUUCAUAGGAUGAUUGUCCAUAUUGGGUAGAAGACCCCUAUUGAUUUUGGGGUCACAAUGUCAAAGGUCAAGAUCACUAUUACCUUAGAACUGAAAACAGUUUCCGGAGCAUAACUUAAGUUCAAUUUGGCCCACAGUGUUCAAACUUCAUAGGAUGAUUGUCCAUAUUGGGUAGAAGACCCCUAUUGAUUUUGGGGUCACAAGGUCAAGGUCACUAUUACUUAGAAAUUGAAAACAGAUUCUGAGCAUAACUUAAGUUCCAUUUGGCCCACAAUAUUCAAACUUCAUAGGAUGAUUGUCCAUAUUGGGUAGAAGACCCCUAUUGAUUUUGGGGUCACAAGGUCAAGGUCACUAUUACCUUAAAACUGAAAACAGUUUUUGGAACAUAACUUAAGUAUCAUUUGCCUACUGUGUUUAAACUUCAUAGUAUGAUUGUCCAUAUUGGGUAGAAGACCCCUAAUGAUUUUGGGGUCACAAGGCCAAGGUCACUUUUACCUUAGAAUUGAAAACAGUUUCUGGGGCAUAACUUAAAGUUCCAUUUGGACCACAAUAUUGAAACUUCAAAGGAGGAUUGUUAUUUGAAGGAGGUAAUACUUUAUUUUACUCCCAUGUUUUACAAAUGCUUCAUCUUUACUAAAAAAAAAAAAAUCACUUUCGGGCAUAUAAUGCUCUGCCUAGCGGUGCUCUUGUUCAUCAUCUGACCAUCACAAAACUUGAUUUUUAGAUUGUCAGAUUUAUUAAUAAUUUUAAUUUUUAAAGUUUUAUUCAGACUACUUCUCUUGUACUACAUGCACUUAUGCAAUUUAAAUGAAACUUUACAGGAUUGAUAGAUACAUCAAGUACUUGUGCAUAAUUAAUGGGUUUUCUGCUUGAAUGCUUUUUUGCCUGAGUAAUGGCCCUUGAAUAAAAAAUGCAUUUUGGCGUAUUAAUUAUAUUUGUAUGUCCUGCUCCAUUAUCGAGUAACUACAACAUGCUAUAAAGUAGCCGCGACAUAAUUAAGGGAACAAACUGGUCAAUCUGAAUCACCACUCAAUACAACUGAUAAAUUGGCUACAUCAGGGGACACACGUGAUCACUGGUCGCUCUUGUUUAUUGUAGCAGAAUGUCCAAAUGGUUAACGCAUCAUAUUACAUUGUAGUAAUCUGAGGAUCACAAGCUGUGUGGGAUCAAACCCCAUCAGGACAAAAUGUUGUUUCCUUGAGCAAUAAACUGUUCACUAAUUAUGGUUCCAGAAACAACUUUGAGAGUGUAUUAAAAAUUUUAGAGAAUUAUAGCUUUCUACACAAUCAAACUAAAAUAGAUUCUGCAUAAACUACAUGUAAAUAUUGUUUUAAUUUAAAACAUUUAACAGAAAAAUGGAGCAAAAACAUAACAAUAAUGCAACUAUUGUUAAUCACUUAAAAGACAGAUCAUAAUGUAUUUUUCAUCGAGUAUAGCUCUAUUUAAGAUAAAUUCUUGACCAUCUUGGAUUAAACACUAGGAACAUGGACCAAAGCAUCAUUGAACAACAAGAAAAAAGUUACUUACUUAUUAGAUACUAUUUUCCAUCUUCUGGUAUGUUUAACAAUUUGAGUAACUCAUUUGUUUCAUUAAUAAAUCGUUUUGUGUUCAUAUUGGAAAUUGUGAUGUAUUGAACAGUCUUUUGAUGCAACUAAUUUUACUUGAUUUUAUUAAGUUUAUGUUCUUAUUUUUAUGAAUAUAUAAUUAUCAUGGUACAUGUAAGAAUUACUUUGUCAAUGUUACUCUUUUACAUUCCAACUAAAUAAAGUUUCAUGGUCUGUUGUUUUUUUAAAGUAUAUAAUAUGUUAUUGUUACUCAUUUAUGAGUUAAAAAUGAAAUGAUUUUUCGAGGCAGGAAUGGAAUUUUGAAUUUUAAUUUUUGCCAGAUAUAUUUGUUGUUAUUAGUAUGCGUAGUGUUUAAAAGACUAAAAACAUUGUGAUAUACACAUAUGAUAGAAAACGUAAUAGAAUAAUUUAGCAAUAAGAUAAUUUGAGUCACGUCACAACAAAACCAACAUAAUGGGUUUGCGACCAGCAUGGAUCUAGACCAGUCUGCGCAUCCCCUUAGUCUGAUCAGGAUCCAUGCUGAUCGCUAUUGAGUUUCUCUACUUUGUUAUAGGGUUUGUAAGCGAACAUCAUGGAUCCUGAUCAGACUAAGCGGAUGCGCAGGCUGGUCUGGAUCCAUGCUGGUCGCAAACGCACUAUGUUGGUUUUGUCAUGAUGCGGCUCUUUUUAAACUGGAUAAGUGUUGUCUAAAGGUUUAGAUAUAACUAGUGUUUAACGAGAACAUUUUAAUAUGUCAACCUUUUCUUUAUUUUAUCUUUUAUUAUGAAUGAUUUAAAUUUUCUGUAGCCGACAACAAACUUAUCAGUUGUUUAUUGAAUGAUAAAAAUAGGAUACAUGUAUCUUGAUCCAGUACUUUUAUCUGACAAAAGUGGAUUUGCUUGGCCUUGAUUGCAUGAAGUGCUUGAGUGUGAUAAGUUUUUUUUGUAAAAUCCAAGGGAGUCAAUACAUGAACUAAAUCAAGGGCAUUUUAUUUUAUAUUUCUUGGUAUUAAUAAUAUUAUAUUGAACAAAGGUAAUGUACACUAAGGCCGCAUUAAGCAAGCAAAAUCAUUCCAGGCCACACUGAUUUUCUUUCAGCCUGGUCACUAUCUGUUCAUGUGACAUGAAGUAAAUAAUCUUAGCAAAUAUACUUAGUAGAUCUAUAUACAUGUAAUAAAGGAACACAUCAAGUUAUCAUUCUACAUCAUAGGAUACAGAAUGGUGUUAAACAAUUAUAAUUGUCAUAGUAAUUCUACUAUUGUUUUGUGAUUUCACAAGGCAUACAACAUUACUAUGUGUAUGUUAAGGUAACUUCCUCUCAAAGUUUGUUGUUUGUACAUUUUUUAAAAAAUUUCCGAGAUUGCAUUUUUAGCAACUUUCAAAAACUAGUCCUGUCCGCUGAUUAUGUAAUAACAAAUUUAUUAUUAUAGUAUUCUGUUACUUUUAUAUACAGAUGUCUGCAGAAUAGCACCUUUUAUUGACCAACAUUUUAUGUACUCAUUAACAUUACUGGUCAAUAACAAAUUUAUAGGUGUAAAGCCCUGCACUAUAAUCUGUAUAAAGGCUGAUUAACAAGCAUAGCAAAACAGUACAUUAAUAACAAUGACUCUAUGAUUAUUUUAAGACAAUUUAACCAAUUUAUUGACCAGCAUUUUUUCACUCUUUAAUCUGUUAUAGCAUGGUACCAGGCUUAAUUAGUACAUUCUUGUUCAAUAAUUCUUUUAAUACUGUCAUAAUUAAUUGUUGUGCUUAUAAAUAAAAGCUUACAUUUCUUUAUUU